rnacentral:tRNA from 1 species
GCCUUCGUGGUAUAGUGGUCAGCACACUGGGUGCGUAUUCAUUAGGUCCGUGGUUCGAGUCCCGGCGAAGGUG